UGCUCUUUAUGCUGAAUCAAGUCUUGAGACGAGCUGCUCUUUAUGCUGAAUCAAGUCUUGAGACGAGCUGCUCUUUAUGCUGAAUCAAGUCUUGAGACGAGCUGCUCUUUAUGCUGAAUCAAGUCUUGAGACGAGCUGCUCUUUGUCUGGUCCCGUCUUAAUGGUGAACUGGUAGGGUGAAAGGAACACAAGCACAUCCAUCCUUGUGCCCUGGCAGGCUCACCGCUCUUCUGAUAGACAGUCAGUCUUACUCUCUCAGUUAGAACCUGUUGGAGCUUUGGCGUAUGUCCCAACUGGCACCCUAUUCCCUAUAUAGUGCACUACUUUUGACCGGAGCCAUAGGAAGUGCAUUAUUUAGGGAAUAGGCAGCCAGUUUGGAACACACAGCCUUUAAUACAAACUUCAUUGGUGAAGCAAUGGGUCUGUCAACCAACGGGAAGCUUGUAGUGACAGUCUUUAUAACAACUGAUGAAGGCUUUUUCAGUCCACCAUUUUGUUCCCCCUCAGCCCUCCUGACCUCAUCUCGUGAUGAAGGCUUUUUCAGUCCACCAUUUUGUUCCCCCUCAGCCCUCCUGACCUCAUCUCGUGAUGAAGGUUGUUUCAGUCCACCAUUUUGUUCCCCCUCAGCCCUCCUGACCUCAUCUCAUGAUGAAGGUUGUUUCAGUCCACCAUUUUGUUCCCCCUCAGCCCUCCUGACCUCAUCUCAUGGUGAAGGUUGUUUCAGUCCACCAUUUUGUUCCCCCUCAGCCCUCCUGACCUCAUCUCAUGAUGAAGGUUGUUUCAGUCCACCAUUUUGUUCUCCCUCAGGCUUCCUGACCUUCCUCAUGAUGAAGGUUGUUUCAGUCCACCAUUUUGUUCCCCCUCAGCCCUCCUGACCUCAUCAUCUCAUCAUCUCUCUGCUUAUUUUGAUGGCUUCACAACAGAGCCAUUGUGCCACUGACUAUUGAUGAUCAUCAAACAACAGUUUGUUUUAAUGAGAUACGAGUCCCCUAUUCAAUACAAUCAUCAAUCUUGCAAAUAUCCGCCUUUGGAUUUUAAUGCCGUAUCUUUUUUAAACUGUAUCCAUUUGAUUUAUGAUUGUAGAAAUCGUUUGUUUUAAAAUAAAGAGUUUGUGAACAACAUGUCCGUAUGUAAAACAUUUACGUUUACGUCAUUUAGCAGACGCUCUUAUCCAGAGCGACUUACAAAUUGGUGCAUUGACCUUAUGAUAUCCAGUGGAACAACCACUUUACAAUGGUACAUCUAUUGUACACACUUAGGGCUCUGGUCUAAAGUAGUGCACUAUAUAGGGAAUAGGGUGCCAUAGGGCCCUGGUCUAAAGUAGUGCAGUAUAUAUAGGGAAUAGGAUUCCAUAGGGCUCUUGUCUAAUGUAGUGCACUAUAUAUAUAUAUAUAUAUAUAUAGGGAAUAGGGUGCCAUAGGGCUCUGGUCUAAAGUAGUGCACUAUAUAUAGGGAAUAGGGUUCCAUAGGGCUCUUGUCUAAUGUAGUGCACUAUAUAGGGAAUAGGGUGCCAUAGGGCUCUGGUCUAAAAUAGUGCACUAUAUAUAGGGAAUAGGGUGCAAUAGGGCUCUGGUCUAAAAUAGUGCACUACAUAGGGAAUAGGGUGCCAUUUGGGGUGCAUCCAACCAUAUCAUGACCUUAGCAUCGUUGACUGUUACUGGACUGUCUGCCCUUCCUCUGAAUCAUCGUUACUGGACUGUCUGCUGUUCCUCUGAAUCAACGUUACUGGACUGUCUGCCCUUCCUCUGAAUCAACGUUACUGGACUGUCUGCCCUUCCUCUGAAUCAUCGUUACUGGACUGUCUGCCCUUCCUCUGAAUCAACGUUACUGGACUGUCUGCUGUUCCUCUGAAUCAACGUUACUGGACUGUCUGCCCUUCCUCUGAAUCAACGUUACUGGACUGUCUGCCCUUCCUCUGAAUCAACGUUACUGGACUGUCUGCCCUUCCUCUGAAUCAACGUUACUGGACUGUCUGCUGUUCCUCUGAAUCAUCGUUACUGGACUGUCUGCUGUUCCUCUGAAUCAACGUUACUGGACUGUCUGCCCUUCCUCUGAAUCAUCGUUACUGGACUGUCUGCCCUUCCUCUGAAUCAACGUUACUGGACUGUCUGCCCUUCCUCUGAAUCAACGUUACUGGACUGUCUGCCCUUCCUCUGAAUCAACGUUACUGGACUGUCUGCCCUUCCUCUGAAUCAACGUUACUGG
rnacentral:lncRNA from 1 species